GGCCAGAUAGCUCAGUCGGUAGAGCAAAGGACUGAAAAUCCUUGUGUCGGCGGUUCGAGUCCGUCCCAGGGCACCA
rnacentral:tRNA from 1 species